UACGAAGGGGGGCUAGCGUUGCUCGGAAUCACUGGGCGUAAAGCGCACGUAGGCGGCUUUCUAAGUCAGGGGUGAAAUCCUGGAGCUCAACUCCAGAACUGCCUUUGAUACUGGAGAGCUUGAGUCCGGGAGAGGUGAGUGGAACUCCGAGUGUAGAGGUGAAAUUCGUAGAUAUUCGCAAGAACACCAGUGGCGAAGGCGGCUCACUGGCCCGAUACUGACGCUGAGGCGCGAAAGCGUGGGGAGCA
rnacentral:rRNA from 1 species